UGGCACACGGGGAGGCAAAGAACAAUGCCUGGCCAUCGGGCAUUAAGGAAAACGGUCUGUGCCUCAUCAGCAUUUUUAAGGCUCGUAAAAAUCCUCCACAAGCCAAAAGUGGGUGGUAUAAAACGAGAGACAGAGAGCCUCGUCUAGGACUACGCCUUUCGGACUCUGGAGCCGACGUACAGACGCGCGAAGUCCCACGAAAAGACAAUGCUGAAUCUGCUCGUCUUCUCUGCCCUCGUGGCGUGCGCUCUUGCUGGCAACCUCUACGGUCCCUACGGUGCCGGCUACGGUGUGGGCUACGGAGCUGGCUAUGGUCCUGGCUAUGGUGCUGGCUAUGGUGCUGGCUAUGGUCCUGGCUAUGGUGUAGGCUAUGGUGUAGGCUACGCCCCAGCCGUCCUAAAGGCUUCCCUCCGUCUACCCCGUGCUCGCUGGACCCAAGGCACUGGGCGCAGUCCUUCGCUCUGCUUCCGCUGUGGCCUCAGCUUCCGGUGUUGCUGACAGCAUCUCUGCUGUUCCCAGCAUCGGCGCCACCCGCGCUGCCCCAGGCAUCAGUGGAGCCAACCUCCUCCGUCCAGGACCCAUCGUGGCUGCAGCUCCAGUGGUCGGAGUGGCUUCUGGCUAUGGUGGCAAAGGCGUUGUACGGCUACGACAAAAUCUAUGGUUAGGAAGCGUCCAGGGUAAGUCCUCCUCCCGGAAGAUCAUCCCAAGCACGAGGACCUCAGGCAGAAUACUGGUGAUUCGUUGUCUGUCCAAGACUGCUUACAUACCAGAAAGAAAAAACAAAAGACUUGUAAUUUGUUUUCUUAUGUCUUUUUUUAUACACGGAACAAAUGUUUUCUUUCUACCUCCCAUGCUUUCCUAAACAACUGACACAAAAAAAGAGACUUUCUGUUGCUGAUUGAAUGACUUUCAAUAUUUUAACUAUUUACUUUGAAUCCAAUGAGGUCGGGAAAGAAAAGCUAGAAGUCGUUGCACGUAAAGUGUCAGAGUCACGAGACAACUGCUGGAAAAGUGAAAAAUACAGGGACCUGAACAGGAAGGGGGAAAACCGCGUUCUUUCUUGUCGUUUGUUUGUGAUUCCUGAAGUAAGAAUUAUAACAAUAAGAAUAUAAAAAGUUGUGUUUGCAAAA